rnacentral:lncRNA from 1 species
UUAAAAUAUUUCAUAAUUAAACAUAAAAUAUAAGUUAAUCCAUACUUAAACAAAAAAUAUAAAAUUUUUUAUUCGAAUUUUCAAUAAUUCAUGAAUAAUUCGCAAAUAAUUCAGCUAGUCUAAAAAAUUCGCCUUUUGUUCUGUUUUUUAGAAAAAAAAAAUCGCAUACAGACUAUUUUAUUCAAAUUUUAAUAAUUCAUGAAUAAUUUGUGAAUAAUUCACGAAUUAACUAACAGAGUAAACAACCUAAUUGAAAUUUGCUCCAAAAG